rnacentral:rRNA from 1 species
UACGGAGGGUGCGAGCGUUACCCGGAUUUACUGGGUGUAAAGGGCGUGUAGGCGGUCUCUCAAGUCCGAUGCUAAAGACCGAAGCUCAACUUCGGGGGUGCGUUGGAUACUGUGAGGCUAGACGGUCGGAGAGGGUAGCGGAAUUUCCGGAGUAGCGGUGAAAUGCGCAGAUACCGGAAGGAACGCCAAUAGCGAAGGUAGCUACCGGGACGAUUUAUGACCAUGAGGCGCGAAAGCGUGGGGAGCAAACCGG